rnacentral:rRNA from 1 species
GAUGAACGCUGACGGCGUGCUUAACACAUGCAAGUCGAACGAAGCACUUUAUUUGAUUUCCUUCGGGACUGAUUAUUUUGUGACUGAGUGGCGGACGGGUGAGUAACGCGUGGGUAACCUGCCUUGUACAGGGGGAUAACAGUUGGAAACGGCUGCUAAUACCGCAUAAGCGCACAGCAUCGCAUGAUGCAGUGUGAAAAACUCCGGUGGUAUAAGAUGGACCCGCGUUGGAUUAGCUAGUUGGUGAGGUAACGGCCCACCAAGGCGACGAUCCAUAGCCGACCUGAGAGGGUGACCGGCCACAUUGGGACUGAGACACGGCCCAAACUCCUACGGGAGGCAGCAGCGGGGAAUACUGCACAAUGGGCGAAAGCCUGAUGCAGCGACGCCGCGUGAGCGAAGAAGUAUUUCGGUAUGUAAAGCUCUAUCAGCAGGGAAGAUAAUGACGGUACCUGACUAAGAAGCACCGGCUAAAUACGUGCCAGCAGCCGCGGUAAUACGUAUGGUGCAAGCGUUAUCCGGAUUUACUGGGUGUAAAGGGAGCGCAGGCGGUGCGGCAAGUCUGAUGUGAAAGCCCGGGGCUCAACCCCGGUACUGCACUGGAAACUGUCGUACUAGAGUGUCGGAGGGGUAAGCGGAAUUCCUAGUGUAGCGGUGAAAUGCGUAGAUAUUAGGAGGAACACCAGUGGCGAAGGCGGCCUACUGGACGAUAACU